AUUGAACGCUGGCGGCAGGCCUAACACAUGCAAGUCGAGCGAGCGGCGGACGGGUGAGUAAUGUAUGGGGACUGCCCGUUAGAGGGGGAUCACUACUGGAAACGGUGGCUAAUAACGCAUACUAUCGGAUAACCCAUAGGGGAUUAGCUAGUAGGUGGGGUAAAAGCUCACCUAGGCGACGAUCUCUGGCUGGUCUGAGAGUAUGAUCAGCCACACUGGGACUGAGACACGGCCCAGACUCCUACGGAGGCAGCAGUGGGGAAUAUUGCACAAUGGGCGCAAGCCUGAGGCAGCCAUGCCGCGUGUAUGAAGAAGGCCUUAGGGUUUUAAAGUACUUUCAGCGGGGAGGCGUUACCCGCAGAAGAAGCACCGGCUAACUCCGUGCCAGCAGCCGCGGUAAUUC
rnacentral:rRNA from 1 species